AAUCCGGCCAAACUCCACCGGUUCCUACGGCCCUCAAAUCACCCAAACGAAUCACGAUCACUUACCUUGUUAUCUCGAAAUCUCUCACCAUAAAUCACGGGAUCUUAAGCGCGUAUCGAGCUGGCAGAAACAUUCCCUUCUAAGUUCAUAUCUUCGGCCCAAAUUAUGCGAGUUUACAAAAAUAAAGCACACGACUAAACCCUAUAUUAUGAUGCUCUACUUGUUUCUAGCACACAUCUCUCACCAAAUCGUCCCUUACUUAUCGAGCACCGGCUUUUGGAAACUCGCCGCCACCACCGCACGCUAUUCCGGUCAAGCCGUCGGUGUCGAGACGGGCAUCGAUCGAGGCUUUGACAACGUUUAUUCCACACGCACGAAUUCUUUAUGGUUUCGCUUUUUGAAAAUAAGGUUACAGGUUUAUCUUUGAGAAGACUGGGGAAGAGAGCUUAGGGGAUGAAUCACUCACAGG